AAUGAUCCGCCGGGCUAAUAUUUUUUUUUUAAUAUUUUCUCGCCUCGAAUAUGUUUUCUUCAGUGUGGCAUGAUUGUUUAAUGAAAAAAAAAAUAAAGUAAUUAUCCCAAUCGCCUUUGGAAAUCGGAAUUCAGUGGUAAGGUAAGAAAAUUUAAAAACAGUUCGCACCUAAAACGACUUUUAUUUUUCAGGUUCGAGCCAACAUCUUUUCAUUCUCGGAUGCGCCCUAUACUCAUCAAAUCGACGUGUACUUGGUCCGCCCACCAAGCUCGCCGUGUUGCUUCUGGAUUCUGCGUUUGUCGUAGAGUUGGACAAGCUCGUGGUUCAUCUUUCGUCGCCACAUAUCGUUCUCUUGCACACCGCCAAAGAGGGUACUAAGCACGUAUAUCAGCGACGAGAGCUAAACAUUGCCGCCUACAAGGUACUCUCCCAAAUUCUAUGCCGUCGAUUAACACCUAUUGCAAGAGAGUUCGUGGGGCCACGAUGGACAAGACCCAGGAGUGAUUAUGGGCGAACCAGAACAGGUGUUCACCGUACUCCAGAUAUCGCAGAAAUGCCUUGAAUAAAAUGUACCCACGCAUCAUCUAUUCAUCGACAACGCUUUGGAGGGAGUCAUACGAAGACCAGGCAUUGACACGAGUGGUUCGAUUUUCCCGAAGCCCAUUCAGUUAUUUGGUUUCGCCGGCGACAAUGAUGUUAUGGCACGUAACUUUGAGAAGCCUACAUCAGACAUGACAGGACGAGGUUCAAGAGAAGACAACUAGCCACUCACCACGAGAUUAUUCUGGUGCGACGAAAUUGAGACGGUCGUAGAAUUCGUGUACUUGGGCUCACUGGUGACUGCCGAAAAUGAUACCAGCAGGGAAAUUCGGAGACGCAUCGUGGCUGGAAACUAUACAUACUUUGGACUCCGCAAGACGCUCUGAUCGAGUAGAGUUUGCCGCCGUACCGAACUUGUUUUUACUAUCUACAAACCCCUUAUUAAACCGAUAGUCCUCACGAGACCUGGACGAUGCUCCAACGCGCACUUGGAGUUUUUGAAAAGAAAGUGUUGCGUACCAUCUACGGUGGGGUGCAGAUGGCGGACGGUACGUGGAGAAGGCGAAUGAACUACGAGUUACAUCAGCUGUCAGACACGUAGCCAGAAUGGAGGAUAGUAAUCCGGUGAAAAUAAUUCUCGACAACGAUCCGACAGGCACAAGAAGGCGAGGUGCGCAGCGAGCAAGGUGGAUCGAUCAGAUGGAGGACGAUGUAGACUGCGUGGUUGGGGACGGGCAGCCAUGGAUCGAGUGGAGAAGACUUUUAUGAACUACUUGUAUUCUAAGAAAAUAAAUAAAUCUGCGACGAGAGAUCGUUUGUGCUGG